GUAACUAAUAAACUGACACUUCUCGUAGGACAAAAACAGUGACAUGUUGUCCUCUGGUCUGUGCUCUUCUCAGGAGUUGGAAAUGCUGAAGGAAGUGUCAGAAGCUUGUGAGUCCCUGAGCGAGGAGAAAAGCGGUUUCAAACACAGCCUCACUACUGGAGCCGAGGAGAGAAGCACACAUUACCUGAUCAACUGAAGAAGGUUAUGAGGUGAAUUGGAGACUUUCUCUCUCAGCUUGAUUCAUGAUGUCGUUUAGAGUGAUAAGACUCAUCAAAAUCACAGAGGAGGGUCUGAGCUAUGGUGGUGUUGAGACACAGACAACACAGCUUGGAAGUGUUUCACAGAAGUGUAAAGGACAGACAGAGAGGUCCCUCCCACUGAGUGUGAGGAUGUGGAAGAUAUUGGUAGUCCUGAUGUGAAAGCAGAGCUUCCCUCCCACCUCAGCAUCACUAAGUAUGUUAUGGAGCGCUGCAUUCAUCUGCUGUCUGAUCCCAGCCUCAGGCUCCGACUCAAGGUACUGGACGUGCUGGAGUUGUGCGUUCAGGUGCUGAGUGAGAGGGAAAAUGAACUGCUGCCUAUGGCUCAUCGCUGCUGGCCAGCACUCCUGCAGAGACUCACAGCCGAUGACCCAUUAGCAGUCCUCAGAGCCUUCAG